rnacentral:lncRNA from 1 species
CUGGAGUAUGACUCUGGGUUCACCAACUCGGGGAUGGCCUGGGGAUUUAGGAGAUGGCAGCAAUGACUCUCUUCUUUUAUACAAAGGACUGUUCAAGCUAUUAGUGUGUGUGUGUGUGUGUGUGUGUGUGUGUGUGACAGGAUCUCGCUGUGUCACCCAGAUAGGGGAGCAGUGGCGUAAUCUUGGCUCACUGCAACCUUUGCCUCCCAGGCUCAAGUGAUCUUCCUGUUUCAGCCUCCUGAGUAGCUGGGACCAUAGGUGUCAGCCAUCACACCAGGCUAAUUUUUGUAUUUUCUUUGCAGAGACGGAGCUUCACCAUGUUUCCCAGGCUGGUCUUGAACUCCUGAGCUUAAGUGAUUUAUGUCUCUGCCUCCCAAAGAGUUGGGAUUACAGUUUGCGCCACCUCUGCCUAAGCAAUUCUGUCCAGAUCUUAAGACUACUUUUUGCUGGGAUUCAAACUCAGAUUUAUGUGGAGUCAACUAUAUGAGGCAUAACAAAUGAGACCCAAGUGCUCAUAGAACAUUGCAAAGAGUCAACAGAGAGAAGUGGAAACUAUUAGAAACAUGACUGUGUUUGCAAAGGAGACAUAAACAUGAAGGAAAAAAGGAGCAGAAAGAAGUGUGAUGUCAAAGUAGACAGUAUAAUUCAAAGUGUCUUGCGUCUGAGUGGAUUUAGGAAGGCAGAAACCCCCUCGUCUAUGUCCUUCCAGUCCCCAAAGACAGGUGGGAGCAUUGUUCCACUAGCAACUAUCACCCAAGGCAAACAGUUAAGACCAGAGGAUCUGAAUAAAAAAGUAGCAGGAUCCUUGCUCUGAUCUUUCCUGACGUUUCCCAAAUCCACAAGGCAGAGGGCAUGGUGCAGGGGUUGGAGAGUAAACUGUUCCAUACUCAGCCCUCACUGAGGAGCAAUGGCAAGCUAGUUUUUGCUAUCAGGUAAAGAAAUAAACACACAUACAUUGUGGGACUACUAUUUGAUUUGCCUGUGAGUUUAUUUUUAGUAAGCUUAUCAAAAACAUGUGUCUGCAAAGAGUAUUUAAGAGCACAGGUAUAAUAAAUAAUCAUAUAAUCGCAAAAAGCUGAGAUGCAAAUUUCUUUUGUUUGAUGCAUUUUUUAGAAAAGUGCUGUCAUUCUUCUAGAUUCUCCCAGUACAGUUGUUAUACAACAACUGAUUUAAUUCCUUUUAGGAUCAUGAAGUUGGUUGGAAGCCUGUUUAAGAUUAUGUUGCCUCCUCUUUUAAUUGUUGGUCAACAUUUUCAAAUAGAAUGCACUAUAUUAUGUGCCUGAUGACAAGCAAACUGCAUGUUUCUUAUAGAAUGGCUGGUUAGUUGUCUUUGUAAAACCAAAUAUCAUUCUCUGAAAAGCAGGUCAGGUAAUGCUAGCCUUAGUUAAUAGCUGUGGGUACCUUGAGUACUUCUCAAAUCAAUAAUGACAGAGGUAGCCUGAUAGCAAUUUAUGAACCACAGUCCUCUUGCGAAACAUAUUUCAAACCAUAACUUCAUCUAAACUGUUUAUCGGCUAAGCUUGCU